GGACCCGUAGCUCAGCCAGGACAGAGCGCCGGCCUCCUAAGCCGGUGGUCCCGGGUUCAAAUCCCGGCGGGUCCG
rnacentral:tRNA from 9 species